GCCAGCUUGAAGAACACAUCACAAGCCAACAAAAUUAGAUGUGUCACCACCAAAAAUUUGACAAUAAAGAAUUAAGAAGGCAAAUUCUUUGUCCAAACAAAGCAAAGUAAAACAAACCAGACCCAUUUCCCUCCUUUUCUGAAGACAAAUAACAACAAGGAAAAAUAUUUAGAAAUAGGCAAAAUAUUGAAAUUGCUACUUGGUACAUUGGACUUUCCAGCGAAUGACUAAGGACCUCAUUUGAAAAAUCUAGAAAUGCCAGUCAAGAAUUUACUAAUCAUGCAACAAUCAACUAACUUCCAAGACUAGUUUUUUCAUUUCCUGAGCAGGUUUUUCUGUCCGAUAGCUAAAAUACUCCAAACAAUUGAAGCUACAUCUGAUACGGGAGCCAGAACUCGGGAGCUACUGCUCUGUUUCCAGGAGUAAAUGGUGCUUAAAGAAAUUUGCAACAACCGUUUGCUAAGUAUAAACUAAAGCCGUUGUUUGUCAUAAAUACUUAAUUUAAAAUCAUCUGUAAUAAUGGGCGAUGUUUCUGUAUUGUCUCUUCCGAUACUGAACUUAGUUCGGUAAAGACUAAUAUGCAGCUACUUCAAAUAACAGUAAGACUGUAUUUAUUACUGAUGAAGUCAGUUUUGCUUUUAGCACAGAAAUGUCAGCACAGCCAAAAACCUGCACGCCUGGAGCUACAAGCCUGCAAGGGGAGAUGCAGCGGGCAGGUCCACCCUUUUGGUUGACAGCUGAAGCUGUCCCUUCUCUUUCUUUCCCCCAUUGUUCCAUGUGUGGAGCUGGGAUGAAGAGUUGCGCACAAGGAAUAGCCCAUUUACAGAUUUUCCUGUUUCCAGAAACUGCAAAUCUGUGAAGUUCUCUGCAUUUUACUUCAUCUUUAAAUAUCUACUGUUCGAAUUUAGAAU
rnacentral:lncRNA from 1 species